GGAGAGAUGGCCGAGUUGGCUGAAGGCGCUCGCCUGCUAAGCGAGUGUAGGGUUAAAAGCCCUACCGAGGGUUCGAAUCCCUCUCUCUCCGCCA
rnacentral:tRNA from 1 species